rnacentral:rRNA from 1 species
GACGGAAGGUGCAAGCGUUGCUCGGAAUCACUGGGCGUAAAGGGUGCGUAGGCGGCCGCGCAAGUCUGGCGUGAAAGCCCCGGGCUCAGCCCGGGAAGGGCGCUCGAAACGGCGCGGCUCGAGUGCCGGAGGGGAGAGUGGAAUUCCUGGUGUAGCGGUGAAAUGCGUAGAUAUCAGGAGGAACACCGGUGGCGAAGGCGGCUACCUGGACAGAAACUGACGCUGAGGCGCGAAAGCUAGGGGAGCAAACAGG